AGCAAUUUUACGGUCCUUGAGGAGGUACCAUGAAGUAUCAUUUUUUUCUAUUGUAAAUUUGGUACCUCAUGGUACCUAGGUAAUGUGAGGUACCAUGAGGUACCAAAAUUUACACUAAGAUUUUGGUACCUCAUGGUACCUCCUCAAGGACCGUAGAAUUGCUCUAAAAU
rnacentral:misc_RNA from 1 species